rnacentral:rRNA from 1 species
GAUGAACGCUGGCGGCGUGCUUAACACAUGCAAGUCGAACGAACCUUCGGGUUAGUGGCGGACGGGUGAGUAACGCGUGGGAAUCUGCCCUCAGGAGGGGGAUAACGGUUGGAAACGACCGCUAAUACCCCAUAUGCCGAUAGGUGAAAUGAAUUUCGCCUGAGGAUGAGCUCGCGUCUGAUUAGCUUGUUGGUGAGGUAAUGGCUCACCAAGGCUUCGAUCAGUAGCUGGUCUGAGAGGAUGAUCUGCCACACUGGGACUGAGACACGGCUCAGACUCCUACGGGAGGCAGCAGUGGGGAAUUUUCCGCAAUGGGCGAAAGCCUGACGGAGCAACGCCGCGUGAGGGACGAAGGCCUCUGGGCUGUAAACCUCUUUUCUCAAGGAAGAAGAUAUGACGGUACUUGAGGAAUAAGCCACGGCUAAUUCCGUGCCAGCAGCCGCGGUAAUACGGGAGUGGCAAGCGUUAUCCGGAAUUAUUGGGCGUAAAGCGUCCGCAGGCGGCCUUUCAAGUCUGCUGUUAAAGCGUGGAGCUUAACUCCAUUAUGGCAGUGGAAACUGAUCGGCUUGAGUAUGGUAGGGGCAGAGGGAAUUCCCGGUGUAGCGGUGAAAUGCGUAGAUAUCGGGAAGAACACCAGUGGCGAAGGCGCUCUGCUGGGCCAUUACUGACGCUCAUGGACGAAAGCCAGGGGAGCGAAAGGGAUUAGAUACCCCUGUAGUCCUGGCCGUAAACGAUGAACACUAGGUGUCGGGGGAAUCGACCCCUUCGGUGUCGUAGCUAACGCGUUAAGUGUUCCGCCUGGGGAGUACGCACGCAAGUGUGAAACUCAAAGGAAUUGACGGGGGCCCGCACAAGCGGUGGAGUAUGUGGUUUAAUUCGAUGCAACGCGAAGAACCUUACCAGGGUUUGACAUCCUGAGAACCUCUUAGAAAUUUGAGGGUGCCUUCGGGAAUUCAGUGACAGGUGGUGCAUGGCUGUCGUCAGCUCGUGUCGUGAGAUGUUGGGUUAAGUCCCGCAACGAGCGCAACCCACGUUUUUAGUUGCCAGCAUUUAGUUGGGCACUCUAGAAAGACCGCCGGUGAUAAACCGGAGGAAGGUGUGGAUGACGUCAAGUCAUCAUGCCCCUUACACCCUGGGCUACACACGUACUACAAUGCUACGGACAAAGGGCAGCAAACUCGCGAGAGCUAGCAAAUCCCAUAAACCGUGGCUCAGUUCAGAUCGUAGGCUGCAACUCGCCUACGUGAAGUAGGAAUCGCUAGUAAUCGCAGGUCAGCAUACUGCGGUGAAUACGUUCCCGGGCCUUGUACACACCGCCCGUC